rnacentral:tRNA from 1 species
GCAGAUAUGGCCGAGUGGAUAAGGCGACUGACUCGAAAUCAGUUUCCAUCUUGGAGCGUAGGUUCGAAUCCUACUAUCUGCG